rnacentral:rRNA from 1 species
UGGUGACUAUAGCAAGGAGGUCACACCUGUUCCCAUGCCGAACACAGAAGUUAAGCUCCUUAGCGUCGAUGGUAGUCGAACUUACGUUCCGCUAGAGUAGAACUUUGCCAGGCA